GCCUGGGUGGCUCAGUCGGUUAAGCACCUGCCUUCAGCUCAGGUCAUGAUCCCAUGAUCCUGGGAUCGAGUCCCACAUCAGGCU
rfam:Ailuropoda melanoleuca scaffold711_74, whole genome shotgun sequence.